AUGCAAAAUAAAGCAAAAUGCAUACAGACUGACAUGCAGCUAGAGGCAGAGUUGAGGUCAGACACUCAGCUGACAGUGUCUCUGUCACACACAUAUACUGCUCUGACUGUGAUGCGUGAGGGGUCGCUGGUUCUAUUACUAAGGGUACAUGAGGGGACGACACUGAGGAGGAUGAGGAUAUGAGCCAAAGAUGCUCCUAUGCCCCUGUCUCUAGCUCUUUUUCUCUUUUUCUCUCUCUCAGACCCUUAGGCUAUGGUCACCCUCUCCAUCCCCUUCCCAUCACUGCCAACACGGCUGUCUACGUCACUGUGUGUGUGUGUGUAGGUGGGCGAGGGUUGCAGUGAGGCAUGCUGGGUCCUCAGCUCUGCUGGUGUCCGUGGGCUCGCACCAGGUGUUCACUAUCACUGCCAACACGGCUGUCUACGUCACUGUGUGUGUGUAUGUAGUGGGCGAGGGGUUGCAGAGAGGCAUGCUGGUCCGUCAGCUCUGCUGGUGUCCUGGGGCUCGCACCAGGUGUUCACACUUGCGCUAAUGAAAGAGAAAAGAUCAGGCGAGAAGCAGGGAGAGCAGCCAAACUGAAUGAGCUCCGGCUCUGCUUCAGUAUUAACAUCUCUAUUAAAUGCUAGCCAACAUCUGCUACCGCUGAACAGGCAAAAACCGUUCACUUACUCACCCUGCCGUGAGCGAUCUGCCAUAUGUAUUUGUCUUUAUUUUGACUGAAAGGCAGCCCACUAGUCAUUUGUCACUUUUGCAUGAGGGUAAAAGAUAUAUAAGCGAGUUGAGCCACUAUGCAUGAUGACAUUGCUUCUUAUGUUACCUAGUAUGUACUAAAUUUGUUAAAUCAUUUUUUGACAAUAAAGGUCAUGUUUCCUUACGGUUUCGUUCAAGGUCCUCAGCUCCCCUUGUGAAAAAUAAGUGCACUUAAUUGUAUUUAAUGUGCACUUGUAAUGUACUGCAAAUCUUAAAAGUGUAUUUCUUAAAGAAAAAAAACUGUACUUGCCAGUAAUAUUAUAUUAAUAUAAUAAAAGGCCACUUAAGUGUACUUAAGUGUUCUCUUAGGGAAAAAAAAUAAUUAAUUUAAUUUUUUUUUUUUUUUUUAUUUUUUUUUAGUUUAUUUUAAUUAACGUAUUUCUUAAGAAAAAAAAAACUAGUAACUUGCCAGUAAUAUUAUAUUAAUAUAAUAAAAGGCCACUUAAGUGUACUUAAGUGUUCUCUUGGGAAAAAAAAAAAUUAAAUAUUUUUUUUUUUUUUUUUUUUUUUUAUGUUAUUUAAUAACAGUUACUUCUGAUGCAAUUGCAUUAAAUACUGUAUAUACUAUAGUAUAAGAAACAAUUCAGUAGUGUAUUUAACAUCUAAUGUUAAAAUAUGUUGUACAUUUUUAAAUGUAA
rnacentral:lncRNA from 1 species